UUGAGGACACAGCCCAGCUAAGCAGGAGCAGGCAGGGCUGAGAUAAGGCCAAGCAGUGAAGGCAGUUGAAGAUUGUCUUGUGGCAGCCAAAGAGGAAAGGAGAAGCCCUGGAAUUGCAGCCUAGAGGGAAAGAUGGCAUUCCUGAGCCCAUGGCGAUAAUGUUUUGGACCCCAACCUUCAGAGCUGGCUCUGAAGUCAGUGGAAGUCAUUAGAACUGCUAUGUGAAGCCCCCAAAGGUAUGAGCCAAAAACAGAACUCUGGAUCAUUCCAUCCUUGGAUAAUGGGAAAAUUCAUAUCUAAAUUGUGCUAAAAUCUUCGCUAUUGGUUCCUGUGUCAACCAGAAAUACAGAUCACUACUGGACCUUGAGAAAUCUGAUUCAAACUGCAGUUUUGCAGCUGUAAUCUCUCCAUCUUUUCUUAUGCUGGGAAACCACAAAUCAUUCAGCACUCAUUCCAAUUUGGACCCAGGUUCCCUCAGUGAACCCUUUAGUGACCUUCAGAUCAAUUUUAAAACUAUAACAAAACCCUCAAAAUGGACGUGUGUCAGGUUUUGGCUUUCAUUAUGAACACUUUGCACAGCUCUGCUCAUAGUGGUUAAUUGUUUGUUUGUAAGAAGUCAAAAACAAAGGAGAAGCCAAAGAACACUUCUUGGGACUCUUGUAAUUCUGUCCAAAACUUUCAAACCUAGAUGCCUAAGGUAAGGCGCCUAAAUCCAUGUUUAGACACUUAAAUAUAAAUGACCCGAGUUCCAGUGGUGCCAUUGAACUCAGAACUGCAGGUGUUCUCUACCUCUGAAAGUCAGGCCACCUCUGUUUAGGUGCCUAAUCUGGGAUUUAGGAGCCUAACUUUAGGCCCCAGGUUUGGAGAGGUUGCCCCCUCCUUUUUUUUAAGAAACAGACAGGGAAUAUUGUGAUCAUAAUGCUGGACAUGAACAUUUUCCAACUAUGUGCAGGGGGAUUUGCUACACACACUACUUUGACGGUAUCACCUUAUUUAUUUAUUUAUUUACCUAUAUGCAACAAGAGCCCAGUUUACAAAUUUUCUGCCUAAAAUUAGGCACCUAUCACAUCUACUUUAGCCAUAUGAAUACUGAUUUAGGAGCCAAAAAUUGAUAUUUAAGUGACAAAUCAUAGAUUUCAGUGACUUACUUUAAGUACCCAUUUUGAGAAUGGGGCCUAUUAUUUCCCUGGUUGGUAUGCAGUUUUCUCUAAAUUGGCAAAGUGACUGAGCGCCUGAUCCCUGCUCCUAUUGAAAACAAUUGGAGUUUUGCCAUUGGCUUUAAUGGGAUCAGGAGCAGAGCCUGAAACAUGUGCGUGCAUCCUGCAAUGUAAAGGUCAUGUGCAGAUUUCCAUUUCUGACUAAUGUUUUGGCAAUUGGAAGAAUGUUGUAAUUUAUAAAUGUUUGGUAUGAGCUUAAAAUCCCCUUUAGAGAUUUGGCUCACUGGGAAUAUCAAUGUCCAAGUUUAUAUAUGUUUUCCUUAUUAUCCCUUUCCCAAAAGGAGUUUGCCACAGGGUCAACUCCACAACAUAUGUACAGUAUUAAGUCCCCAUUCUCAUUUCUUCAGUUGUUGCACUUACUCUAAAUUAGGGCUGCUUUCUUCAUUCAAGUUUGGGUCAAGUAUGUAAUUUUUUUUUGUUUCAUAAACCUUUUGAGGAAUUAUUGAAGUUCCUGCAGGUUCAGCUUCCAAGUUUGUUUCUAUCAUACAGCAUUUCAUUGUUCAAUUUGCACUUAGUGAAAGAAAGGAGAGAAUUACAAAUUAUGGAGGUUGUGG